rnacentral:rRNA from 1 species
UACGUAGGGGGCAAGCGUUGUCCGGAUUUAUUGGGCGUAAAGAGCGUGUAGGCGGCCAAGCAGGUCCGCUGUGAAAACUCGAGGCUCAACCUCGAGACGUCGGUGGAAACCGUUUGGCUAGAGUCCGGAAGAGGAGAGUGGAAUUCCCGGUGUAGCGGUGAAAUGCGCAGAUAUCGUAAGGAAGACCAGUGGCGAAGGCGGGUCUCUGGACAGUUCCUGACGCUGAGGCACGAAGGCCAGGGGAGCAAACGGG